rnacentral:rRNA from 1 species
AUACGGAGGGUGCGAGCGUUGUCCGGAAUCACUGGGCGUAAAGGGCGCGUAGGCGGCCUGGUAAGCGUGCGGUGAAAGCCCGGGGCUCAACCCCGGGUCUGCCGUGCGAACUGCUGGGCUUGAGCACUGUAGAGGCAGGUGGAAUUCCGGGUGUAGCGGUGGAAUGCGUAGAGAUCCGGAGGAACAUCGGUGGCGAAGGCGGCCUGCUGGGCAGUGGCUGACGCUGAGGCGCGACAGCGUGGGGAGCAAACAGGAUUAGAUACCCUGGUAGUCCACGCCGUAAACGAUGGGCACUAGGUGCCUGGGGGAGCGACCCCCUGGGUGCCGGCGCUAACGCAUUAAGUGCCCCGCCUGGGGAGUACGGCCGCAAGGCUGAA